rnacentral:rRNA from 1 species
UGGGGAAUAUUGGACAAUGGGCGAAAGCCUGAUCCAGCCAUGCCGCGUGUGUGAAGAAGGUCUUCGGAUUGUAAAGCACUUUAAGUUGGGAGGAAGGGCAGUUACCUAAUACGUGAUUGUCUUGACGUUACCGACAGAAUAAGCACCGGCUAACUCUGUGCCAGCAGCCGCGGUAAUACAGAGGGUGCAAGCGUUAAUCGGAAUUACUGGGCGUAAAGCGCGCGUAGGUGGUUUGUUAAGUUGGAUGUGAAAUCCCCGGGCUCAACCUGGGAACUGCAUUCAAAACUGUCAAGCUAGAGUAUGGUAGAGGGUGGUGGAAUUUCCUGUGUAGCGGUGAAAUGCGUAGAUAUAGGAAGGAACACCAGUGGCGAAGGCGACCACCUGGACUGAUACUGACACUGAGGUGCGGAAGCGUGGGGAGCAAAACAGGAUUAGAUACCCUGGUAGUCCACGCCGUAAACGAUGUCAACUAGCCGUUGGGAGCCUUGAGCUCUUAGUGGCGCAGCUAACGCAUUAAGUUGACCGCCUGGGGAGUACGGCCGC